GACGAAGGAUGCAAGCGUUAUCCGGAUUCAUUGGGUUUAAAGGGAGCGUAGGUGGCCUUAUAAGUCAGUGGUGAAAUCUCGCAGCUUAACUGCGAAAUUGCCAUUGAUACUGUAGGGCUUGAGUACAGUUGCCGUUGGCGGAAUAUGACAUGUAGUGGUGAAAUACAUAGAGAUGUCAUAGAACACCGAUUGCGAAGGCAGCUAACGAAACUGUAACUGACACUGAGGCUCGAAAGUGCGGGGAGUCAAACAGG
rnacentral:rRNA from 1 species